rnacentral:misc_RNA from 1 species
GAUGAAGAACGUAGCGAAAUGCGAUAACUAAUGUGAAUUGCAGAAUUCCGUGAAUCAUCGAGUCUUUGAACGCACAUUGCGCCCCCUGGUAUUCCGGGGUCAUGCCUGUCCGAGCGUCAUUGCUGCCCAUCAAGCACGGCUUGUGUGUUGGGUCCUCGUCCCCCCCGGGGGACGUGCCCGAAAGGCAGCGGCGGCACCGCGUCCGGUCCUCGAGCGUAUGGGGCUUUGUCACCCGCUCUGCAGGCCCGGCCGGCGCUGGCCGACGCGAAAGCAACCAUUUUUUCUCCAGGUUGACCUCGGAUCAGGUAGGGAUACCCGCUGAACUUAAGCAUAUCAAUAAGCGGAGGA